rnacentral:rRNA from 1 species
AUGUAAUUAUGUGCCCAGCCGCGGUAAUACGUAGGUGGCAAGCGUUGUCCGGAUUUACUGGGUGUAAAGGGCGUGUAGCCGGGAAGGCAAGUCAGAUGUGAAAUCCACGGGCUCAACUCGUGAACUGCAUUUGAAACUGUUUUUCUUGAGUAUCGGAGAGGCAAUCGGAAUUCCUAGUGUAGCGGUGAAAUGCGUAGAUAUUAGGAGGAACACCAGUGGCGAAGGCGGAUUGCUGGACGACAACUGACGGUGAGGCGCGAAAGCGUGGGGAGCAAACAGG